rnacentral:rRNA from 1 species
AUUGAACGCUGGCGGCAGGCCUAACACAUGCAAGUCGAGCGAGAGGCGGACGGGUGAGCAAUGUAUGGGGACUGCCCGAUCGAGGGGGAUAACGACUGGAAACGGUGGCUACUACCGCAUACUAUCGGAUAACCCAUAUGGGAUUAGCUAGUAGGGGGGGUAAAGGCUCACCUAGGCGACGAUGUCUAGCUGGUCUGAGAGGCUGAUCGGCCACACUGGGACUGAGACACGGCCCAGACUCCGACGGAGGCAGCAGUGGGGAAUAUUGCACAAUGGGCGCAAGCCUGAUGCAGCCAUGCCGCGUGUAUGAAGAAGGCCUUAGGGUUGUAAAGUUCUGUCAGCGGGGAGGCGUUACCCGCAGAAGAAGCACCGGCUAACUCCGUGCCAGCAGCCGCGGUAAUUC